rnacentral:tRNA from 1 species
GGGUCGCUAGCUCAAUUGGCAGAGCAGCAGCCUCUUAAGCUGACGGUUGAGAGUUCGAGUCUCUCGCGACCCA